CCUACGGGAGGCAGCAGUGGGGAAUCUUGCGCAAUGGGCGAAAGCCUGACGCAGCCAUGCCGCGUGAAUGAUGAAGGUCUUAGGAUUGUAAAAUUCUUUCACCGGGGACGAUAAUGACGGUACCCGGAGAAGAAGCCCCGGCUAACUUCGUGCCAGCAGCCGCGGUAAUACGAAGGGGGCUAGCGUUGCUCGGAAUUACUGGGCGUAAAGGGAGCGUAGGCGGAUAGUUUAGUCAGAGGUGAAAGCCCAGGGCUCAACCUUGGAAUUGCCUUUGAUACUGGCUAUCUUGAGUAUGGGAGAGGUUAGCGGAACUCCGAGUGUAGAGGUGAAAUUCGUAGAUAUUCGGAAGAACACCAGUGGCGAAGGCGGCUAACUGGCCCAUUACUGACGCUGAGGCUCGAAAGCGUGGGGAGCAAACAGGAUUAGAUACCCUGGUAGUCCACGCCGUAAACGAUGAGUGCUAGUUGUCGGCAUGCAUGCAUGUCGGUGACGCAGCUAACGACAUAAGUACACCUCCGCCGUCGGGGUAGGUACGGGUCCGGCGAAGAAGUUAAAACGUUAACGUAAAUUAGUUAAGUUAGUUACGGCGUGAGACGUUGCCGACGGACGACCGACGAGGGGAGGAGG
rnacentral:rRNA from 1 species